CGGCGGAAGCCUAGGGAGCGCAUCCCAGGCGAGCGCGGGUCCCGGUUCCUCCCCUGCGGAGCCGGCUGUGAGCGGAGGGGUAGGAGGCGAGUUCGGGGAUCCCUGAUCCUCUGUAGGCUCCUAGCGGCGUCUAGCCUUGGAACAGCUGCAAAAGCGGCGGGGCCUGGUGUUCUUCCCUUUCUUCCUUGCCACUCUUGAGCUGGCCCCCAAGAUCCAGGGAUCGGCAGGAGAGACCCGAGCUUUGGCGCUAGGAUGGGAAACAGUGCCCUCCGCGCUCAUGUGGAAACCGCGCAGAAAACUGGUGUCUUUCAGCUUAAGGACCGUGGGCUGACCGAGUUCCCCUCAGAGUUGCAGAAGCUGACAAGCAAUCUCAGGACCAUCGACUUGUCCAACAACAAGAUCGAGAGUCUACCGCCUAUGAUUAUAGGGAAGUUCACUCUGCUGAAGAGCCUGUCCUUGAACAACAACAAACUGACUGUCCUUCCUGAUGAGUUAUGCAAUCUGAAAAAACUAGAGACACUAAGCCUAAACAACAAUCACUUGAGAGAGCUGCCAUCUACUUUUGGGCAACUAUCUGCCCUUAAGACCCUGAGCCUCUCUGGGAACCAGCUGAGAGCACUACCAUCCCAACUUUGUAACCUACGGCACCUGGAUGUAGUGGAUCUCUCCAAGAACCAAAUUCGGAGCAUACCUGACACAGUGCAGGAGCUGCAGGUCAUCGAACUCAACCUCAACCAGAACCAGAUAGCUCAGAUCUCAGUGAAGAUAUCUUGCUGUCCUCGCCUUAAAGUUCUUCGUUUGGAGGAGAAUUGUCUUGAGCUCAGUAUGCUUCCACAGAGCAUCCUCAGUGAUUCCCAGAUCUGUCUGCUUGCUGUAGAAGGCAACCUUUUUGAAAUAAAGAAACUUCGAGAACUGGAAGGCUAUGAUAAGUACAUGGAGAGGUUCACAGCCACCAAGAAGAAGUUUGCAUGAUGUUCUCCAGGAGCAUGUGAACCAUACAGGACACUGACUUGGAAACUGUUGCAAUCUGGCUGAAUGAAAGGCUCCUGUUGUUGUCAAGGAUAUCUGCAGUGAGGAGAUGAUAUUCCAGGAGAUCUGGACCUUGCGGGAGUCCCCUGAACUGAAUCAUAGAAUCUCAUCUGGAGCUAGCCUAGAUCUCACCCAGAGACUGAAAUAACCUACCCCAAGAUCUGUGGAACAGAUGUAUCACCAUCCAUAUCAAUAUGAAAGGGCUCUGCUGAGGUUAGAGGCUGACGACGGACUGCUUCAGGACCAUCUCUACCUUCUCUCUCAGACUGUCCAAGAAAAUCCUGCCUAUGCUUGUCUGGGUACACAAAGAAAAAUAAAAUUAAUACUUAUGUAGCUCCAUUUCCCACUUUUUAUGAUAUCAGACCACCUUAUUCCCUGCUCUUCCUACUCAUCAGAGAUAAUUUGCUCUAGGUUCUAGGGAGGACUUCCUCUUCCUUGCUCUUCUCUUAAUAUGUAUCUCAAUGAAGUUCAUUUACUUUUUCCCCUGAACUCUUCCAAGAGGGUACAUAGAACAUAGGAGAAAAGUAAGUUUACAAAACAUAGUUAAAAAAAGAGUUUAGAUUAAAAAAAAUCUGUGCAUUUCUAACUUGUUUGCUGAAAGUAAUCUGCUAAACCCUGAUUCGCAGGUCAUAGUUAUUAAAAUAUGCACUUUUGGAGAGUCAACCAAGGUCUAAACAGGUCAACAGACUUGUCUUUCUUAGCUUCUUAUGCCCAAAAGAAACACUAAAGUUGACCAACAAGUAAUUUAACUCUAUUUUCUCCAGUAGAAAUGGCACAGAGAAUGCUGUCACAUGAAACACUUAUCUGAAAGCAUGACAGAGCAAAACCUCCUCCAUUCCUAACUCCUUUGAGGAGUAAACAAAUGCUGAGAGUCUGUAAACCUUCGUAUCUCAUUUUUGGUUUACCACACCAGCUGAGACAACUGGAUGGAAGCAGUAAUGCUUACAAAGCUCUUUAAAAAUGAAUACUCUCAGCAGAAAGGAUAGUCACUCAAUCUCCAGACAACGUCAUUUCAGCCAAAGGUAAAGUUCAAAGUUGCUUUGUUAAUGACUCCUCAUCUUUGUCUGAAUACAUGUACUUUUGUCAACACCAUGGAGUUUGUAUUAUCCAAGAUUAAGUAGAGAAUUUAAAUGUUAAUAAUA